CUUUUGUCCUCUUCCUCUUCGAAGCUGCCAAGUCUAACAGAAGUUACAAGUUUGUCAGCGUGAUCAGAGAGCACAGAAACCAGGAAACUAAAAUGGAGAGAUUUCAUUGCCAGCAGGCUUCCUCUGUGAGGCAUGCUAAAGGAAUUACUUCAGAGGAAGAGGAAAUGGCACCAGAUGGAAAAUCAAAUCUACAGGAAGGAAUGAAGAGCACCAGAAAUGGACCUUCCACUCUCUCCUCAAGAGGCGGAGUCUAUUUUCCACCCCAUUGAAACUGAGCAGAACUUUGUGACUUUCUUGUGGAUGGAAUGAGGUGGGACUGCCAGCUGCUAUGUGACCUAGUGACCCUGGGUUGUAAAAAGUGGUAAGACUUGCUGCCCCUGCUGCUUGCUUUCUGUAGGGAUGCUCCCCUUUAGAGCCUGGACACUUUGCUGUGAAGCAGCA